AAUGAACGCUGGCGGCAGGCCUAACACAUGCAAGUCGAACGGGUCCUUCGGGACUAGUGGCGGACGGGUGAGUAACGCGUGGGAACGUACCUUUUGCUUCGGAAUAGCCUCGGGAAACUGGGAGGUAAUACCGAAUGUGCCCUACGGGGAAGAUUUAUCGGCAAAAGAUCGGCCCGCGUUGGAUUAGGUAGUUGGUGGGGUAAUGGCCUACCAAGCCGACGAUCCAUAGCUGGUUUGAGAGGAUGAUCAGCCACACUGGGACUGAGACACGGCCCAGACUCCUACGGGAGGCAGCAGUGGGGAAUCUUAGACAAUGGGCGCAAGCCUGAUCUAGCCAUGCCGCGUGAUCGAUGAAGGCCUUAGGGGUUGUAAAAGAUCUUUCGUGGGGGAAGAUAAUGACGGUACCCCAAGAAGAAGCCCCGGCUAACUCCGUGCCAGCAGCCGCGGUAAU
rnacentral:rRNA from 1 species